UACCCGUAGGUGAACCUGCGGAGGGAUCAUUACAGAGUUCAUGCCCUACCGGGUAGAUCUCCCACCCUAUGUUAUUAUUACUUUGUUGCUUUGGCGGGCCGUUAGGCUCCGGCCCGACUACCGGCCCCGGCUGGUAAGCGCCCGCCAGAGGACCCAAAACCCUGAAUAUUAGUGUCGUCUGAGUACUAUAUAAUAGUUAAAACUUUCAACAACGGAUCUCUUGGUUCUG
rnacentral:misc_RNA from 1 species